rfam:Trichobilharzia regenti genome assembly, scaffold: TRE_scaffold0044001
AUCCAUUUGACGAGUCCCGAAUAGGACGAAAUGCAUGUUGUCCUGGAU